AGAUUGAACGCUGGCGGCAGGCCUAACACAUGCAAGUCGAGCGGCAGCACGGGUACUUGUACCUGGUGGCGAGCGGCGGACGGGUGAGUAAUGCCUAGGAAUCUGCCUGAUAGUGGGGGAUAACGUUCGGAAACGGACGCUAAUACCGCAUACGUCCUACGGGAGAAAGUGGGGGAUCUUCGGACCUCACGCUAUCAGAUGAGCCUAGGUCGGAUUAGCUAGUUGGUAGGUAAAGGCCUACCAAGGCUACGAUCCGUAACUGGUCUGAGAGGAUGAUCAGUCACACUGGAACUGAGACACGGUCCAGACUCCUACGGGAGCAGCAGGUGGGAA
rnacentral:rRNA from 1 species